UGAGUCAGCAUUUUCUUUAGCAGUUGAAAGGAUGUUCCUUGUAUCCUUAAAGAAUAAAUAUGCAGAUGGCCAAGCGAUAGCCGUUAAACUUUCCAAA